CUUGCAGCAAUUACAUAUCUACGUUUUAUGUUGCACAUGAUGUUUACUGAGAACAUCAUUAAUAGCUGAAUCAUUUCAUAUAUACGCAGAUAAAUAAACAGAAAUUACUUCAGCAAACAUAAUAACUCUUCGACAGAUUUUGAAUUGAAUAUAUACUUAUAGAACAAUGUCAUAUGGACAAUAUGGUCAACCUCCUUAUAAUCCAAACUCCCAGAGUUACGGAUGUCCAGGAUAUGGUCCCCCACAGCCAUCCUAUCCAUAUGGACAAGGCGGUGGAUAUCCACAGCAACCGUAUCCUCAGCCAUAUUAUGCACAGCAACCACAAACAGUAGUGGUACAUGACAGGGAUAAGAAAAAAGAUGGCUGUCAGUCGUGUCUGUAUGCUUUACUAGCCGUUCUUUGCUGUUGUUGUCUCUGUGAUAUGUUAGACUGAUGUAGAAACAUUUGUAAUCGGAUAAUAUUUGUUAUUUAAGAAUAUUGCAAUAACUUUACAUGGAUAAUACUUGAACUUUACUUUAUUCAGAGUAUUUGAUUAAGGAUGAGUCUUUCUUAAAUAUGAUCAUAAGCAAGAAAUAUAAAAAAAACAUAUAUUGUAUCAGUAGUUAUAUUGAUAUGAAUUUAGAUUAAAUUCAGAAUGUAUACUAUCUUCGAAAUAUAGAGCCUUUCUUCGUGUACCACACAGAUCAGAUAAAUGACAAACACUAUAUAUAUCUGCUUACUCUUAUUUUUGGUAUGAUAGAUAUUUGUUUCAUUAUGAAUAAAGCUGUAUUGUAUUG